rnacentral:rRNA from 1 species
AACGAACGCUGGCGGCAUGCCUAACACAUGCAAGUCGAACGAAACCACCGGGACCUUUGUCCCCUGGCUUUGUCACCGGACGGAACCUUCACACGUGUACAACCUAACUAUCCGACUGGGGUGCCAACAGCAGACCAGAUCUUAUACCCAAUGAUAUAUUGACUCUCGUUGUUCACUCGUUAAAUACGCUUUUUCUUUCACUUAUAGAUUACUACGCCCCGCAUUAACUAGUUGGUUAGGUAACGGCUUACCAAGGCAACGAUGCGUAGCCGACCUGGGAGGGUGAGCGGCCACACGGGAACUGAGACACGGUACAGACGCCUACGGGAGGCAGCAGUAGGGAAUCUGCCGCAAUGGGCGAAAGCCUGACGGAGCAAAGCGGCGUGAGUGAUGAAGGUCUUCGGAUCGUAAAACUCUGUUAGUAGGGAAGAACAAAUGUGUAAGUAACUAUGAACGUCUUGACGGUACCUAAUCAGAAAGCCACGGCUAACUACGUG